rnacentral:rRNA from 1 species
AUUGAACGCUGGCGGCAUGCCUUACACAUGCAAGUCGAACGGCAGCACGGGAGCAAUCCUGGUGGCGAGUGGCGAACGGGUGAGUAAUAUAUCGGAACGUGCCCAGUCGUGGGGAUAACGUAGCGAAAGCUACGCUAAUACCGCAUACGAUCUAUGGAUGAAAGCGGGGGAUCGCAAGACCUCGCGCGAUUGGAGCGGCCGAUAUCAGAUUAGGUAGUUGGUGAGGUAAAGGCUCACCAAGCCGACGAUCUGUAGCUGGUCUGAGAGGACGACCAGCCACACUGGGACUGAGACACGGCCCAGACUCCUACGGAGGCAGCAGUGGGGAAUUUUUGGGACAAUGGGCGCAAGCCUGAUCCAGCAAUGCCGCGUGCAGGAUGAA